AAAUGGUGUUGUCCAAAGAUGUCUCCACACAGCUGGACUUUUUCUUGGAUGCUCUUUUGGUUGAUAUGGAAUCCACAGAGAUUUCUGGCUUCAUGGAUGGCCAAACACUGAAAACUUCCAGACACACUUGAAUAAGAAGAGAAGGGGCCUGUAUUGCAAGCCUAUUACAGAGGCAGCGAAAACUGCCAAGCAACUGACCUCUGAAGUACAGGCUCUGAAGUAAAGGCUCUGUUGACUGUUUGAAACAUAAACACAGUAAGCUUUGCAUCUUGAUUGAAGCAAAGACAUCUGUCUUUUCCCAGAUAGCAAGAACUUUGGUUGCUGUGGCAACAUAUUGACUGGGGAAUUUAAAAAUAAAGGUGGCUCAUUUCCAAAUCAUUUUUCCCCCUUCACGAAAAAGCCACACACUGGUAAUAAAUGUGGGAGGUAUGCAGAAAUCAGAAAAUAUUCUACUCAUCAAGAAUGUGGCAAGUUAUAACUACAAAAUGAAAAUAGAAACAGAAUAGAAAUAUCAAGAUAAGGGACAACUAAGAGACUAAGGAAAUAUGACAGGGAUAAACUCCCCUUCACUGUACAGGCUGCAUAGUCCACUCAUAUGGAGGCUACUUGUGAAGCCAGAUAACACACACAGAAAUGCUGAAUUUCUUGGAGUCUGGCAGCAAACAAGGAGUUUGCCAGUUCUGAGGUCCUAAUCCAUGGGGAGAAAGGAGACAGUCAGCAGCACCUCAGAGAGUAAGAAAACCCAAAAUAAUUUUAUUUUGUAUGUUUGACUGCAGUACAUACAAAGAGUUUAGCUUAUUAGCUUUUCAGUGAUUACCUAAUAUUAGCAAAUCUCUCAGAGUAAUUCAUUUCAGGAACAAAUUACAAUACAGCAAUGCGUCUGUAUCCCUUGAAACAAAAAAAAAAAAAAAAAAAAAAAAA